rnacentral:rRNA from 1 species
UACGGGGGGGCAAGCGUUGUUCGGAAUUACUGGGCGUAAAGGGCUCGUAGGCGGCCAACUAAGUCGGAUGUGAAAUCCCCAGGCUUAACCUGGGAACUGCAUCCGAUACUGGAUGGCUUGAAUCCGGGAGAGGGAUGCAGAAUUCCAGGUGUAGCGGUGAAAUGCGUAGAUAUCUGGAGGAAUACCGGUGGCGAAGGCGGCAUCCUGGACCGGCAUUGACGCUGAGGAGCGAAAGCUA